rnacentral:tmRNA from 1 species
GGGGGCGUCCAGGCUUUGACAGUCGCUUGGUUGCGUUCUUUAAGCGUGCUGGCAGGCUCGUCUGCCUAAAAACGGAAAUUAAAAUUAAACGCUGAUACACAAAAAUUAGCAUUGGCUGCCUAGUGCGCCACGGUCACUUGUGAGGCUGCAUAGCAAAGCUGACCGCCAGAAUGCAGAUGCGCUUGAAACUUUUGCUUGUUGGUUUCAAGUUAAGACUAAGCAAGCAAAGCAACCUUAGAGUUUGCCAAAUUGACUAAGGUGGCAAUUUAAUUUGGCUGGGGCACGAAGAAAGGGGAAUGGCAGGGCGAUUGGACGCGGGUUCGAUUCCCGCCGCCUCCACCA